rnacentral:RNase_P_RNA from 2 species
GAGAGUGGAAGGAUGGCUUCCGCGGCCUUUGUGUCGUGAGGAAAGUCCCCCCACCUCCGGGUAGGGAAUGUCGAGAUGGCAUAGGAUGAGAGUCUUGGCUCUGGUAUAGAAACGACACGGCCUGCAUGGAGCGAUGAUGCGUUUUUAGGCGUUGAGUGUUGAUGUGUGGGAAUCGAUGGAACGACGAAUCCUCCUGGUGCAAGUCCAAAGUGGGUUAUGGGUUGCCCGGCCUUAUCCCAGGUAGGACGCUUAGCGAAAUGCCGUCACCAGUUUUUUUGGCUGGGAACAGAAGGGGGCUUACUCUCCACACUC